UACGCCUAGGACACCAGAAUA
rnacentral:snRNA from 1 species